rnacentral:tRNA from 1 species
UUGCCUGUGGUCUAGUGGUUAAGGUGCCUGACAAGUACUCCUGAGGUUGGUGGUUCAAGCCCCAGUCCAGCCACA